GGCUGCCGUAGUUCAGUGGUAGAGCACCAGCUUUGCAAGCAAAAGGUUCCAGGUUCAAUCCCCGGGUAGGCCU